GGCUGUGUGGUCUAGUGGUAUGAUUCUCGCUUAGGGUGCGAGAGGUCCCGAGUUCAAUUCUCGGCACAGCCC
rfam:Perkinsus marinus ATCC 50983 gcontig_1104296709130, whole genome shotgun sequence.